GACGAACGCUGGCGGCGUGCUUAACACAUGCAAGUCGAACGGAAAGGCCCUGCUUUUGUGGGGUGCUCGAGUGGCGAACGGGUGAGUAACACGUGAGUAACCUGCCCUUGACUUUGGGAUAACUUCAGGAAACUGGGGCUAAUACCGGAUAGGAGCUCCUGCUGCAUGGUGGGGGUUGGAAAGUUUCGGCGGUUGGGGAUGGACUCGCGGCUUAUCAGCUUGUUGGUGGGGUAGUGGCUUACCAAGGCUUUGACGGGUAGCCGGCCUGAGAGGGUGACCGGCCACAUUGGGACUGAGGUACGGCCCAGACUCCUAAGGGAGGCAGCAGUGGGGAAUAUUGCACAAUGGGCGGAAGCCUGAUGCAGCAACGCCGCGUGCGGGAUGACGGCCUUCGGGUUGUAAACCGCUUUCGCCUGUGACGAAGCGUGAGUGACGGUAAUGGGUAAAGAAGCACCGGCUAACUACGUG
rnacentral:rRNA from 1 species